CGUAGGGUGCAAGCGUUAAUCGGAAUUACUGGGCGUAAAGCGUGCGCAGGCGGCUUUGCAAGACAGAUGUGAAAUCCCCGGGCUCAGCCUGGGAACUGCAUUUGUGACUGCAUGGCUCGAGUGCGGCAGAGGGGGAUGGAAUUCCGCGUGUAGCAGUGAAAUGCGUAGAUAUGCGGAGGAAUACCGAUGGCGAAGGCAAUCCCCUGGGCUGCACUGACGCUCAUGCACGAAAGCGUGGGGAGCAAACAGGAUUAGAUACCCUGGUAGUCCACGCCCUAAACGAUGUCAACUGGUUGUUGGACGGCUUGCUGUUCAGUAACGAAGCUAACGCGUGAAGUUGACCGCCUGGGGAGUACGGCCGCAAGGUUG
rnacentral:rRNA from 1 species